rnacentral:misc_RNA from 1 species
GAAUUUUUAUAUGGCUAUUAUUUCUUAAUAAUUUGAUUAGUUUCUUGUUGUUUAGGAUUUCUGUUAGGAGUAUUCUGCGAGGGGUUGCUUUCUGGUAGUGUUGGCCCAUCAAUGUCAUCAAUUAUUCCUGCCUUGAAGCCCGACUCUUCCACAAAGAGUCGCAACAUUCAACCCGAAGAAGUAGAAUGUGAAUCCAAGAAGACUGCAGCUGGUGCUAAAUCCAAUUUAACCUGUGUCCCCAAGAAGUACACAGAUCAAAUGGGAAAAUAUGGCGCUAACACGGGUUUUGAUUCACCAAAGGGACCUGCAGGAAAUGACAACAUUUCUGAAAAUAUGAUGUCUAAUCCUCCCUUUGAUCCUAGAAAGAUGGAUGCUCUAUCCAAGCAUGUUGCCAAUGUUUCAAGUGGUAAUCACCACCACCGCCAACCCACACCAGCACCACCAAACGCCAAGACCAACCAUGGCCAUACCACUAGUAAUCGUAGCGAUAGCUUAGAGAGCUCCACUGCAUCAUUUAAGCCUCAUACCGGUGGUGACGUCCGGUGGGAUGCAAUUAACAUGGUGAAUGCCAAAGAUGCAAUUGGUCUUAGUAGCUUUCGGCUUCUCAGGCGUCUUGGGUAUGGAGACAUAGGGAGUGUUUACCUUGUUGAACUUAGAGGAACUAGUGCUCACUUUGCUAUGAAAGUAAUGGAUAAGGCUUCGCUUGCUAGUAGAAAUAAGCUACUGAGAGCACAAACGGAGAGGGAGAUUCUUGGGCUUCUUGACCACCCAUUCUUGCCCACCCUUUAUUCUUAUUUUGAGACUAAUAAGUUCUAUUGCUUGGUCAUGGAGUUCUGUAGUGGAGGCAAUCUUCAUUCUCUUCGCCAGAGGCAACCCAACAAGUAUUUUACUGAGGAAGCAGCCCGGUAUAUAUAAAUCUCCACAUAUUUUAUAAUUUCAUACCACCAACUUUUGUAGUUUUGUUUCUAACGCACCUUUCUUCUCCUGCAAUUAGUUGGAUACUGCAUACCAUUUCUGCAUUGUUGUAUACCAGGGUUAGGGGAAUUUUUUCAGACUAUACAUGAUUUUGAAUCCUUAAUUACUGUUCUUUUAAUUUAUGCAAUCAUAAUUUUUCUUUUAUUGUCACAGUAUA